rnacentral:tRNA from 1 species
GGGGCUGUAGCUCAGCGACAGAGCACUUGCCUAGCACGCAUGAGGCACCGAGUUCGAUCCUCAACACCA